rnacentral:rRNA from 2 species
AGCAUAGCGAUUUGGGAUAAGUCCCUUGGAAAAGGGCAGCAUGGAGGGUGAUACUCCCGUCUCUGCUCAGAUUGUCUGUGUGUACGAUACGCUUUCUUUGAGUCGAGUUGUUUGGGAAUACAGCUCAAAGUAGGUGGUAAAUUCCAUCUAAAGCUAAAUAUUGGUGCGAGACCGAUAGCGAACAAGUACCGUGAGGGAAAGAUGAAAAGAACUUUGAAAAGAGAGUUAAAGAGUACCUGAAACUGUUGAAAGGGAACCGUAUCGUUUCCAGUGUCGAAUCCCAAGCAUAUUGCAUCGGCGGAGUAAUUUGCUGGUGCCCUGGGCAUGGGUGGGACAUCCCAAUCCGUUUGGAUGCUUCGGAAAAUGGUUACUAAGAAGGUCCGUCCCUUCUGUGAAAGUUACAUCUUGCUAUCUAGUUGCCGUGGUUGAGACUGAGGUGCC